UCUACAGGCUUAACACAUGCAAGUCGAGGGGCAGCAUGGUCUUAGCUUGCUAAGGCCGAUGGCGACCGGCGCACGGGUGAGUAACACGUAUCCAACCUGCCGUCUACUCUUGGACAGCCUUCUGAAAGGAAGAUUAAUACAAGAUGGCAUCAUGAGUCCGCAUGUUCACAUGAUUAAAGGUAUUCCGGUAGACGAUGGGGAUGCGUUCCAUUAGAUAGUAGGCGGGGUAACGGCCCACCUAGUCUUCGAUGGAUAGGGGUUCUGAGAGGAAGGUCCCCCACAUUGGAACUGAGACACGGUCCAAACUCCUACGGGAGGCAGCAGUGAGGAAUAUCGGUCAAUGGGCGAGAGCCUGAACCAGCCAAGUAGCGUGAAGGAUGACUGCCCUAUGGGUUGUAAACUUCUUUUAUAAAGGAAUAAAGUCGGGUAUGGAUACCCGUUUGCAUGUACUUUAUGAAUAAGGAUCGGCUAACUCCGUGCCAGCAGCCGCGGUAAUACGGAGGAUCCGAGCGUUAUCCGGAUUUAUUGGGUUUAAAGGGAGCGUAGAUGGAUGUUUAAGUCAGUUGUGAAAGUUUGCGGCUCAACCGUAAAAUUGCAGUUGAUACUGGAUAUCUUGAGUGCAGUUGAGGCAGGCGGAAUUCGUGGUGUAGCGGUGAAAUGCUUAGAUAUCACGAAGAACUCCGAUUGCGAAGGCAGCCUGCUAAGCUGCAACUGACAUUGAGGCUCGAAAGUGUGGGUAUCAAACAGGAUUAGAUACCCUGGUAGUCCACACGGUAAACGAUGAAUACUCGCUGUUUGCGAUAUACUGCAAGCGGCCAAGCGAAAGCGUUAAGUAUUCCACCUGGGGAGUACGCCGGCAACGGUGAAACUCAAAGGAAUUGACGGGGGCCCGCACAAGCGGAGGAACAUGUGGUUUAAUUCGAUGAUACGCGAGGAACCUUACCCGGGCUUAAAUUGCAGAUGAAUUACGGUGAAAGCCGUAAGCCGCAAGGCAUCUGUGAAGGUGCUGCAUGGUUGUCGUCAGCUCGUGCCGUGAGGUGUCGGCUUAAGUGCCAUAACGAGCGCAACCCUUGUUGUCAGUUACUAACAGGUUCCGCUGAGGACUCUGACAAGACUGCCAUCGUAAGAUGUGAGGAAGGUGGGGAUGACGUCAAAUCAGCACGGCCCUUACGUCCGGGGCUACACACGUGUUACAAUGGGGGGUACAGAGGGCCGCUACCACGCGAGUGGAUGCCAAUCCCCAAAACCUCUCUCAGUUCGGACUGGAGUCUGCAACCCGACUCCACGAAGCUGGAUUCGCUAGUAACCGCGCAUCAGCCACGGCGCGGUGAAUACGUUCCCGGGCCUUGUACACACCGCCCGUCAAGCCAUGGGAGCCGGGGGUACCUGAAGUGCGUAACCGCGAGGAGCGCCCUAGGGUAAAACUGGUG
rnacentral:rRNA from 1 species